rnacentral:rRNA from 1 species
UACGGAAGGUCCGGGCGUUAUCCGGAUUUAUUGGGUUUAAAGGGAGCGUAGGCCGGCUUUUAAGUCAGCGGUCAAAGCCCGGGGCUCAACCCCGGCCCGCCGUUGAAACUGGCAGUCUCGAGUUGGAGAGAAGUAUGCGGAAUGCGCGGUGUAGCGGUGAAAUGCAUAGAUAUCGCGCAGAACUCCGAUUGCGAAGGCAGCAUGCCGGCUCCACACUGACGCUGAGGCACGAAAGCGUGGGUAUCGAACAGG